CCGUAUGCAGGGGGACAACAGUCAGAAAUGACUGCUAAUACCGCAUAAGCACACAAUGCUGCAUGGCAUGGUGUGAAAAGAUUUAUCGGCAUACGAUGGCCCCGCGUCUGAUUAGCCAGUUGGCAGGGUAAUGGCCUACCAAAGCAACGAUCAGUAGCCGGCUUGAGAGAGUGACCGGCCACAUUGGGACUGAGACACGGCCCAGACUCCUACGGAAGGCAGCAG
rnacentral:rRNA from 1 species